AGACAACUCCGUCAGUGCUAUUUACACUCUGGACUAGCCUUUACCCGAGGUCACAUGCUUGCUGUCUCUUUCCCCUUCCCUGUCUUUUCCUCUGUCUCAUAUAGGUUUUUCCUAAAGAGAACUUUCACAGUAAAUCAUAUGUGCCUGAAUUCCUAUCUCAGGCCCUGCUUCUAGGGAAUUCUACUUAAGGUGGGCCCAAUGUAACGCAAGAAGCAGCAGGAGGCAAAACAAGACAGUAUAUGAGGGCUGCCCGCAGGAGAAAGAAUUGAUUGUCCAGGGCAUUAGUAGAUGGAAUGGGGCUAUGAGCCAAUGAAUGCUGGCAGCUUCUAGACUCUAGAAAAAGCACGGAGAUGGAUUUUCCCUUAGGACCUCCAGAAGGAAAGCUCUCCAUCAGACUUCUGACCUACAGAACUUUACCUGUGGUCAACCGUGGUCCAAAAUUAUUAAAUGGAAGAUUCCAGAAAUAAACAAUUUAUAAGUUUUAAAAUGCUCGCCAUUUUGAGUAGCAUGAUGAAAUUUCAUGCCGUCUUGCUCCUUCCUGCUCAGGACGUGAAUCAUCCCUUUGUCCAGCAUAUCUACACUGUAUAUGCCCUCUUUUUGUUUACAUUUCCUUUUCGACCACCCAUCUCCCUAGAUGCUUACGUAACUAAGAAGAAAAGCAAAAAUACCUCUCACUUAUAUUCUUACAUUUAUCCACCAGCUGCUUGCCUCUCUUGGAACCCUCUGUGGUCAAGCUGACACCAAAGGCCUCACAGGUGAGGGCAUGAAGACCAGCAAUUACCCUUUGAUCUUAAGAUCACUCCAUUACAUGUUUCUUUAUCUUCCUUUUUUGUUUCUUUUCUUUAUGUGAAACCAUAUGUGCUGUCAGGAUAAAAUCAUUUCACAUGUUCAAAGUAAACAAAACUGCUCAUUCUGGUCAAACAUGCCUCAGAAGUUUC
rnacentral:lncRNA from 1 species